ACUACGGGGGGCAGCAGUGGGGAAUAUUGCACAAUGGGGGAAACCCUGAUGCAGCGACGCCGCGUGAGUGAAGAAGUAUCUCGGUACGUAAAGCUCUAUCAGCAGGGAAGAAAAUGACGGUACCUGACUAAGAAGCCCCGGCUAACUACGUGCCAGCAGCCGCGGUAAUACGUAGGGGGCAAGCGGUAUCCGGAUUUACUGGGUGUAAAGGGAGCGUAGACGGCAGCACAAGUCUGGAGUGAAAUCCCGGGGCUUAACCCCGGAACUGCUUUGGAAACUGUGCGGCUGGAGUGCAGGAGGGGUAAGCGGAAUUCCUAGUGUAGCGGUGAAAUGCGUAGAUAUUAGGAGGAACACCGGUGGCGAAGGCAGCAUACCGGCGGCGAUCUGACGCUGAGGCACGAAAGCGUGGGUAUCGAACAGGAUUAGAUACCCUAGUAGUC
rnacentral:rRNA from 1 species